AGCAGCCGCGGUAAUUCCAGCUCCAAUAGCGUAUAUUAAAGUUGUUGCAGUUAAAAAGCUCGUAGUUGAAUUUCGGGAUUGACACAUCGGUCGUGCCUUAAGGGUAUGAACUGGUGUAGUCAAUUUCUCACCUUCUGGAGAACCGCGAUGCCCUUAAUUGGGUGUCACGGGGAACCAGGACCUUUACUUUGAAAAAAUUAGAGUGUUUAAAGCAGGCAUUUUGCUUGAAUACAUUAGCAUGGAAUAAUAAAAUAGGACGGCAUGAUUCUAUUUUGUUGGUUUCUAGGAUCACCGUAAUGAUUAAUAGGGAUAGUUGGGGGCAUUAGUAUUCAAUUGUCAGAGGUGAAAUUCUUGGAUUUAU
rnacentral:rRNA from 1 species